rnacentral:rRNA from 3 species
UGGGGGAUAUUGCACAAUGGGCGAAAGCCUGAUGCAGCGACGCCGCGUGGGGGAUGAAGGCUUUCGGGUUGUAAACCUCUUUCGCUAUCGAACAAGGCCCGCUUAGGGUGGGUUGAGGGUAGGUGGAGAAGAAGCGCCGGCUAACUACGUGCCAGCAGCCGCGGUAAUACGUAGGGCGCGAGCGUUGUCCGGAAUUAUUGGGCGUAAAGGGCUUGUAGGCGGCUUGUUGCGCCUGCUGUGAAAACGCGGGGCUUAACUUCGCGCGUGCAGUGGGUACGGGCAGGCUUGAGUGUGGUAGGGGUGACUGGAAUUCCAGGUGUAGCGGUGGAAUGCGCAGAUAUCUGGGGGAACACCGAUGGCGAAGGCAGGUCACUGGGCCAUUACUGACGCUGAGGAGCGAAAGCAUGGGUAGCGAACAGG